CAUGUCCAAUUCAGGCAUGAGCUCAGAAAAUGGGGCAAUGGGAACAGGUUAAAUGCAUAAAAGGCUUCAGUGGAAUGUGCUUUAGCUAUUCAUUUGAAUGAUUAAUAUACUGUAUAGUUCAUCAUCUACUAGGAGUGUUAUCACACAAGAAAAGACUAAAUAUAUAAUUAUUAAAACAUAAAACAGUUAGAUAGCAAAUAACAAAUAAAUAGCAAAUAAGGUAUAUGCUAAUAAGGAGAAAUUUACAUAACUGAAUAUAUAAUGUACAUUUAGCCCAACAUUAAAUAUAACACAGUUAAAUAAAAUAUGUAGGUUGAAGACAAUGCAACAGAAUGUAUUGAGUCUCACUGUAGCACAGGCUCCUCCCAGGAUUAUGAGUAUACAGCUGUUGUAUCACAAAAAUUCUUAAAGUGGAAUGUUCAGUCUUCAACUCUAGCCUUCAUUUGAGUUGGUGAUUUCAACUGCAAAGCUCAGCAGAUAUAAUGACACAUUGGCACAGAGUUGUUUUCAUCCUUGUCACAUAUUUUUGGAGAUGUAAUUCUGAGGACAAAGUUGAUCAGAAUAUCAGAGUUCAAACAGCUCUUGAAGGUGAAGCUGUAACUAUCAACUGCACAUACAAAACUUCUUAUUCAAACCCAACUCUAUUAUGGUACCAGCAAAAAGUAAAUGGAAUCCCCAAAAACAUGCUGAUGAGAUUUUCUGGAUCUCGCAGCGAUGAUGAAGCAUUCAAGGGGAGAUUUAAUGCUAAACUCAUCGCAUCUUCAUUGUCGGUUCCACUGACAAUCCAGGACCUGCGUGUGUCUGACUCUGCUGUGUACUACUGCGCUCUGCAGCCCACUGUGACUAAAACACAUUCAGCACACAUACAAAAACACUGAGUAAAUUUAACUAUAAUUUUCUCAACAACAUCUGAUGACAUCUACAGCUCAAACAUUC